UACGCGCGAUCGCCUUGAGUUUGAUAUGGCUCAGAACGAACGCCAGCGGCGUGGAUUAGGCAUGCAAGUCGAACGGAGACCGUAGCAAUACGGUCUUAGUGGCGGAAGGGUGAGUAAUGCAUAGAUAACCUGCCCCCGAGACCGGGAUAACUUCGGGAAACCGAAGCUAAGACCGGAUGGGGUCGCUGGAUCGCAUGGUUCGGCGACUAAAGGAGGCCUCUGAAUAUGCUCCCACUCGGGGAGGGAUCUAUGUCCUAUCAGCUAGUUGGUGCGGGUAACGGCCCACCAAGGCAUUGACGGGUAGCCGGCCUUAGCGGGUGUCCGGCCACAUUGGGACUGAGACACUGCCCAAACUCCUACGGGAGGCUGCAGUCGAGGAUCUUCCGCAAUGGGCGCAAGCCUGACGGAGCGACGCCGCGUGUGGGAUGAAGGCCUUCGGGUUGUAAACCACUGUCACUCGUUAAGAAAGGGUUGGGGGUUAACAGCCUCCAGCACUGACUAAGGCGAGAGAGGAAGCCACGGCUAACUUCGUGCCAGCAGCCGCGGUAAGACGAAGGUGGCGAGCGUUGUUCGGAAUCACUGGGCAUAAAGCGCACGUAGGUGGUGCCGUAAGUCGGAUGUGAAAUCCCUCGGCCUAACCGAGGAACUGCGUCCGAUACUGCGGUGCUUGAGGAUCAGAGGGGUGCAUGGAAUUUCCGGUGGAGCGGUGAAAUGCGUUGAUAUCGGAAGGAACUCCGGCGGCGAAAGCGAUGCACUGGCUGAA
rnacentral:rRNA from 1 species